UACGGGGGGAGCAAGCGUUGUUCGGAUUUACUGGGCGUAAAGGGCGCGUAGGCGGCCACCGCAAGUCAAUUGUGAAAUCUCCGGGCUUAACUCGGAAAGGUCAACUGAUACUGCGGGGCUAGAGUGCGGAAGGGGCAACUGGAAUUCUCGGUGUAGCGGUGAAAUGCGUAGAUAUCGAGAGGAACACCAAUUGCGAAGGCAGCUCGCUGGGACGUUACUGACGCUGAGACGCGAAAGCGUGGGGAGCAAACAGG
rnacentral:rRNA from 1 species